rnacentral:rRNA from 1 species
CGGACGGGUGAGGAAUACAUCGGAAUCUACCUUGUCGUGGGGGAUAACGUAGGGAAACUUACGCUAAUACCGCAUACGAACCAUGGUUGAAAGCGGCGGACCGGCAAGGCGUCGCGCGAUUGGAUGAGCCGAUGUCCGAUUAGCUAGUUGGCGGGGUAAAGGCCCACCAAGGCGACGAUCGGUAGCUGGUCUGAGAGGAUGAUCAGCCACACUGGAACUGAGACACGGUCCAG